CAAUAGCGUAUAUUAAAGUUGUUGCAGUUAAAAGCUCGUAGUUGGAGUUCAGAGUGAGCUCAGCCGGUCCGCCUCAUGGGUGAGUACUGGUCGACUCUCUCUUGUUUGUGAAUCCCGCCCGGAGUUCAUUCUUCGGGUGUGGACUUCAGAUCGUUUACCUUGAAAAAUUAGAGUGUUCAAAGCGGGCGUUUGCUUGAAUAUAUUAGCAUGGAAUAAUGGAAUAGGACCCUGGUCCUAUUUUGUUGGUUUUGAGGACUAGAGUAAUGAUUAAUAGGGAUAGUUGGGGCAGUUCAUAUUUAAUUGUCAGAGGUGAAAUUCUUGGAUUUAUGAAAGAUGAACUUCUGCGAAAGCAUUUGCCAAGGAUGUUUUCAUUAAUCAAGAACGAAAGUUAGGGGAUCGAAGAUGAUCAGAUACCA
rnacentral:rRNA from 1 species